UACGUAGGGUGCGAGCGUUAAUCGGAAUUACUGGGCGUAAAGCGUGCGCAGGCGGUUCGCUAAGACAGAUGUGAAAUCCCCGGGCUCAACCUGGGAACUGCAUUUGUGACUGCAUAGCUAGAGUACGGUAGAGGGGGAUGGAAUUCCGCGUGUAGCAGUGAAAUGCGUAGAUAUGCGGAGGAACACCGAUGGCGAAGGCAAUCCCCUGGACCUGUACUGACGCUCAUGCACGAAAGCUAGGGGAGCAAACCGGG
rnacentral:rRNA from 1 species